UACGUAGGGGGCUAGCGUUGUCCGGAAUCAUUGGGCGUAAAGCGCGUGUAGGCGGUCCGGUAAGUCCGCUGUGAAAGUCGGGGGCUCAACCCUCGGAUGCCGGUGGAUACUGUCGGGCUUGAGUACGGAAGAGGCGAGUGGAAUUCCUGGUGUAGCGGUGAAAUGCGCAGAUAUCAGGAGGAACACCAAUGCGAAGGCAGCUCGCUGGGACGUGACUGACGCUGAGACGCGAAAGCGUGGGGAGCAAACAGG
rnacentral:rRNA from 1 species